CACUCGGAGCUUCGCUUCGGCGGAGUGACGGGGUGCCUUUUGCUUAAUGAGCCGGCUAGUUAUUUUGCGCGGCAAGGUUAAUCCUGGGAACAGGAGGAGCCAGAGCGAAAGCGAGUCUGAAUAGGGCGUUCAGUCGCGCGAAAUAGACGCGAAGGUGAGUGAUCUACCCUUGGCCAGGAUGAACUCAGGGUAACACCUGAGGGAGGUCCGAACCGUUGUUGGUUGAAAACAGCUCGGAUGAGCUGAGGGUAGGGGUGAAAGGCUAAUCAAACUCACGGAUAGCUCGUUCUCUCCGAAAUAGCUUUAGGGCUAGCCUCGCAUGAAUGGUAAGGGAGGUAGAGCACUGGAUGGCCUAGGGGGCCGAAAGGUCUACCAAAUCCAACCAAACUCCGAAUUCCCUUAACCACUGUGCGGGAGUAAGACUACGGGGGCUAAGCUUCGUGGUCUAAAGGGAAACAGCCCAGACCGUCAGCUAAGGUCCCGGAAUGCAAGCUAAGUGGGCAAGGAUGUGAGGAUACGAAGACAACCAGGAUGUUGGCUUAGAAGCAGCCAUUC
rnacentral:rRNA from 1 species